rnacentral:rRNA from 1 species
UACGAAGGGGGCUAGCGUUGUUCGGAAUCACUGGGCGUAAAGCGCACGUAGGCGGAUCUUUAAGUCAGAGGUGAAAUCCCAAGGCUCAACCUUGGAACUGCCUUUGAUACUGGGGAUCUUGAGUCCGGGAGAGGUGAGUGGAACUGCGAGUGUUAGAGGUGAAAUUCGUAGAUAUUCGCAAGAACACCAGUGGCGAAAGGCGGCUCACUGGCCCGGUACUGACGCUGAGGUGCGAAAGCGUGGGGAGCAAAC